UACGGAGGGUGCAAGCGUUAUCCGGAUUUACUGGGUUAAAGGGUGUGUAGGCGGGUCUUUAAGUCAGUGGUGAAAUCUCCGAGCUUAACUUGGAAACUGCCAUUGAUACUAUUGAUCUUGAAUUCUGUUGAGGUGGGCGGAAUAAGUCAUGUAGCGGUGAAAUGCAUAGAUAUGACUUAGAACACCAAUUGCGAAGGCAGCUCGCUAAACAGAGAU
rnacentral:rRNA from 1 species